ACUCCUACGGGAGGCAGCAGUGGGGAAUAUUGCACAAUGGGCGCAAGCCUGAUGCAGCCAUGCCGCGUGUAUGAAGAAGGCCUUCGGGUUGUAAAGUACUUUCAGCAGUGAGGAAGGUGGAUAUGUUAAUAGCAUAUUCAUUUGACGUUAGCUGCAGAAGAAGCACCGGCUAACUCCGUGCCAGCAGCCGCGGUAAUACGGAGGGUGCGAGCGUUAAUCGGAAUUACUGGGCGUAAAGCGCAUGCAGGUGGUUUGUUAAGUCAGAUGUGAAAGCCCGGGGCUCAACCUCGGAAUUGCAUUUGAAACUGGCAAACUAGAGUACUGUAGAGGGGGGUAGAAUUUCAGGUGUAGCGGUGAAAUGCGUAGAGAUCUGAAGGAAUACCGGUGGCGAAGGCGGCCCCCUGGACAGAUACUGACACUCAGAUGUGAAAAGCGUGGGGGAGCAAACAGGAUUAGAUACCCCGGUAGGCUCUGC
rnacentral:rRNA from 1 species